rnacentral:rRNA from 1 species
UACGUAGGGGGCAAGCGUUGUCCGGAAUUAUUGGGCGUAAAGAGCGUGUAGGCGGUCCGGUAAGUCGGCUGUGAAAGUCCAGGGCUCAACCCUGGGAUGCCGGUCGAUACUGCCGGACUAGAGUUCGGAAGAGGCGAGUGGGAUUCCCGGUGUAGCGGUGAAAUGCGCAGAUAUCGGGAGGAACACCUAUGGCGAAGGCAGCUCGCUGGGACGUUACUGACGCUGAGACGCGAAAGCGUGGGGAGCAAACAGG